GCACGGACAACUUCUUACUCGGCCGCUGAGUAUCCGUCACCGAACCAAUUCCCUUGCCUUGGGUGGCCUCGGCAUCGCUUUCGCUCAGAAUUAUCCCGCUAACAGUGACGAAUACCUGGGCUUGGACCCACUAGAUAGGUACUGGUCCUACUUCGAACCUACUUUGAUUCGUCUCCAGGCUUGGCUGACUACAACUUCUUAGUCGCCUACUCAACACCAAUCCCCACUUUACGGUGAGCUUGGGUCUCGAUCGACCAAGAGGGGCUUUACGCAACUCCGCGUCGUCAACUGACCUGUAGAUCCCCAUUUCGUGACAAAGCCACGCCCGACGCGCUCGCCAUGGUUUAGCUCCGUUUGAGACUUAUGAUCUAUACUGGGUUUUUAUUGUCCCCAGUUCCAGCCGGUUACUCUGCUACCCCCUAUUCGAAGUAGCAGCUCUCCCUUUGUCGGGCCUAGUGGUCGAUUCCGGGGAUUUACUGGCGAGUCACUAUUUCCUCCACCCCCACGUUUCUGUCGGUCCUCCAAACGGAUCUUCGUCGGUGGGAAAUUUCUCACGCAUUAUCGAGUGACUAGCUCGCGGGAACGCGACUUCUACUUGCCCCGAUUCGCUAGACGGCUUCGACACCCUACAGUUUUACGUAGCCAUCCCCUCGCAAGGCGGAAUCUCCCUUCGUUGGCGCUUUCGCCCCCAGCUGCUUCGCCUUCGCUCUUACAGCCGAACUCAUUGCUUUUGUAACCACUCUUAGGUUACGGGGCUUUUGGGUUCCAAAGGAGGCGUUCCAAGCAGGUGCCUCCCACUCAGUCCCGGAUUCUAGUCCGGCUUUCCGCAUCAGCUACCUGUUGUCCAGUUAUAAGGACAUGAUGGGGAACAACCAUGCCUCCCUGCCUCCUCCGAUCCAAUCGGCUUUCUACCAAUAUCCAAAUUCCUGUGUUCCACUGGGACGAAAAAGUCCCAUUCUUCCCCAUCUCUUUUACGGAGCUCGGCUCCAGGCUCAUGGUUCGCGACGUCGCGACUUAAUACUCGGGGCACCUGAUCGCUAACGAAGAGGUGCUCCGAGUAUGGUCCGCGAUGCCGCGACUUCAUACAUUGACUACGGUAUGAGGGUCCUUUUCGAGCUUGCUGGAAGUUGUUUUCCCAUGGACAUGGGCUUUGGCUGUGUCCACCCAUCCAUCUCUUAUGGAUCCCCGCGCUCUGUUGAGAGAGAUUCCUUGAGCCGUUUUAUCGGGGCAUUGAAGCCCUCUUCCCCACGGGGGAGUGUUUUCCCCCGGCGUCACUGGUCCGGGCCCGCUGACAAAUGGUUUUUGUGUCCAGAGGCGUUUCAGCAUUCUGGUACAUACCCCCGACUGCGGACGGGUCACGGCCUUCCAGUUCCUUCAACCACUUGACUACUGUCCCUUCGGCCGCUGGCUUCGGGGCCACUUGCCGCCGGCAUUGAUAUUGCCAGGAUUCCAUCGCUUUAAGGAACAGCCCAUUCAAGGCUGGGCGUGCUUUCCGCAUUGCUAGACCCGUGACAGAGCCUCUCUCCGAGCCACUUUAUCUGUACAGACACUUCUACGCCUGAUGGACGUGGACCUGUCUUUCUGGGAUACUUCGAAAUGACAAGGGACCCUAACCGAAACCCGGAAAGGACGCGUCGAAUCCACCUUCCGCUUCUUCCGGGGGAAGGCCCCCCCGGGCUCGGUAGUCACUCUAUGGUGAGACCUUCUCGAGCCUAAGAUUGGAACACAGUCUGGGCGCCCGGUUCCCUGUCAGAGUCCAUUUGUCAAAGAUACCCCGCAUCCGGAGGGUUUUCCAUUGCCUCCGCACGUUUCCAAAGGAGCCCGGUCUGCCUGUAACCAGGAGCUCACGUUUCCGUCUUCCCUCGAACUGACGUUCUGAGUGGGCAGCUCGUCUCUGCUUUCAGCCGGAAUCACUAGGCUGCCACGGCUCACCUUCCCGGCAGCGAGUUGCCUAUUUUCAAUGAGAUCCCUAUUGUCCGACUAGAAGGGGUUCUCAGGUGUAGCUGCCCUUCCAAACCGUGGAGCUACAGCCGAGAAGCGGUGGACCUCGACAUCCACCAAGGUUCCCAACCCGACAAGCGGGUAAUUACGCCAUGCACUCGACCCAAGUCUUGCAGCACUCUGUCAAGCCAGGUAUAGGCCACACCCGCAAUCUCGUAACUCUCCUGGAAAGGGAUCAUGCUCUCCUGGCCCUUCCUGCGUGGAGACCACAUGGUCAAUAGCACGGAUGCCAUUUGCGACCCAUCGGUUCACGCCUCUCCUAUUGACGACUUUCGUAUAUUCAUCAUUCGGGUG
rnacentral:rRNA from 1 species